CUGUUUUUUCUUCCUUUUCAAGGAAAAAAAUAUGCUCGAGAUUCAUUACAAGAGAAUAUGAAUUUAACUUUAUGUUUGGCAAAAGGCGUAUCAUUCAUUACGGAAUGCAGAUCCACAGCCACAAGCAUUUCCCAGCCAGCAACAAGAUAUAUACUCGUACAUGUCUCUCCGUUCCUCUGUAGCAUUUCCAUCUCUCCACGCACGGCCCCGGAGAGCAAGGAAAGAUGUUGCUAGCUCAAUACAGCAAAUAUUAUUAUUAUUACCCCUCCUAAACACCAGGACGGCCGGUAAAACGGAAGCCGCCUGACAAAGGAUACGAUCGGCAGGACAAAGGAAACGCGCAGGGAUGGCCGGGGACGCGCCGCCGUCGCCGACGGGCGAGGAGCCCUCGCCCGCGUCGGCCGCCGCUGCUGCUGCGGCGGAGGG
rnacentral:lncRNA from 1 species